AUGUGCAGGAACCUGUCAUCUAUUGCUUCAAACUUCUGGUGGGGUAAAACAGAUGGUCAUAAUAAGGUGCACUGGAUUGGGUGGGACAAGAUGUGCACGCGAAAGCAUGAAGGAGGGCUGGGCUUUAGGGACCCGGAAGCGUUCAACCAAGCAAUGCUCGCCAAAGCAGCUUGGCACUUGCUGCAAGUGCCAAACUCGCUGUGUGGACGAGUUCUAAAGGCACGGUAUUUUCCCGAUGGGUCGAUUCUUAAUGCAACGUGCCCUGCCGGCGGAUCAUACACUUUCAGAAGUAUCUUGCAUGGUCGCGACCUCCUUAUUGACGGCUUGAUCUGGCGUAUUGGCGACGGUUCACGAGUAUUCAUUCAUCAUGAUAAUUGGCUCCCAAGGAGCGGUAGCCUCAAGCCACUGGGCCAAAGCUACAUCGCAGGUAUUGCUACGUCUUAA
rnacentral:rRNA from 1 species